rnacentral:piRNA from 1 species
AACACUCAAGAUAUUCUCUCUACAAUGUAU